rnacentral:rRNA from 1 species
AUCUUAAUGAGAGUUUGAUCCUGGCUCAGGACGAACGCUGGCGGCGUGCCUAAUACAUGCAAGUAGAACGCUGAGGACUGGUGCUUGCACCGGUCCAAGGAGUUGCGAACGGGUGAGUAACGCGUAGGUAACCUACCUCAUAGCGGGGGAUAACUAUUGGAAACGAUAGCUAAUACCGCAUAAAAGUGUUUAACCCAUGUUAAACAUUUAAAAGGUGCAAUUGCAUCACUAUGAGAUGGACCUGCGUUGUAUUAGCUAGUUGGUGAGAUAACGGCUCACCAAGGCGACGAUACAUAGCCGACCUGAGAGGGUGAUCGGCCACACUGGGACUGAGACACGGCCCAGACUCCUACGGGAGGCAGCAGUAGGGAAUCUUCG